GUACUUGCUUGGGCAGCACAUAUGCUAAAAUUGGAACGAUGCAGAUAUUAGCAUGGCCCCUGCACAAGGAUGAUUCCCAAAUUUGUGAAGUGUUCCAUUAAAAA
rnacentral:snRNA from 1 species